UUGAAAGGGAAACGAUUGAAGUCAGUCAUACCAACGGGAAAUCAACCUCUUGGGCUCGGUCUCGUGGGUUUUGAAGAGUUUCAAAGCCUUCGGAUUCGCGGGAUUGGGAUCUCCUGGCGUACUUUUUCGUACGGUUAGUCAACAUCGGUUUUGUAUGUCAUAAAAUGACUGGAGGAAUGUAGCUUCGAUCUCGUAUUGAAGUGUUAUAGCCUUUGGUAGAUGUGAUGUUUGAGACCGAGGAUUGCAAACGGAUACCCUUCAGGGCUAUUCGUCUGAUCUCUGAUACGUUGCCUUGAUGUUGAAAGCUCGCUUAUGAUGUUAGGGUAUUACGGUCAAAAGGUUAGAACGAAUUACAUUCGUUAAGGAUGUUGACGUA
rnacentral:rRNA from 1 species